UCGUACGCUUCUUUUUCCACCGGAGCUUGCUCCACCGGAAAAAGAAGAGUGGCGAACGGGUGAGUAACACGUGGGUAACCUGCCCAUCAGAAGGGGAUAACACUUGGAAACAGGUGCUAAUACCGUAUAACAAUCGAAACCGCAUGGUUUUGAUUUGAAAGGCGCUUUCGGGUGUCGCUGAUGGAUGGACCCGCGGUGCAUUAGCUAGUUGGUGAGGUAACGGCUCACCAAGGCCACGAUGCAUAGCCGACCUGAGAGGGUGAUCGGCCACAUUGGGACUGAGACACGGCCCAAACUCCUACGGGAGGCAGCAGUAGGGAAUCUUCGGCAAUGGACGAAAGUCUGACCGAGCAACGCCGCGUGAGUGAAGAAGGUUUUCGGAUCGUAAAACUCUGUUGUUAGAGAAGAACAAGGAUGAGAGUAACUGUUCAUCCCUUGACGGUAUCUAACCAGAAAGCCACGGCUAACUACGUGCCAGCAGCCGCGGUAAUACGUAGGUGGCAAGCGUUGUCCGGAUUUAUUGGGCGUAAAGCGAGCGCAGGCGGUUUCUUAAGUCUGAUGUGAAAGCCCCCGGCUCAACCGGGGAGGGUCAUUGGAAACUGGGAGACUUGAGUGCAGAAGAGGAGAGUGGAAUUCCAUGUGUAGCGGUGAAAUGCGUAGAUAUAUGGAGGAACACCAGUGGCGAAGGCGGCUCUCUGGUCUGUAACUGACGCUGAGGCUCGAAAGCGUGGGGAGCAAACAGGAUUAGAUACCCUGGUAGUCCACGCCGUAAACGAUGAGUGCUAAGUGUUGGAGGGUUUCCGCCCUUCAGUGCUGCAGCUAACGCAUUAAGCACUCCGCCUGGGGAGUACGACCGCAAGGUUGAAACUCAAAGGAAUUGACGGGGGCC
rnacentral:rRNA from 1 species